UACGUAGGGUCCGAGCGUUGUCCGGAAUCACUGGGCGUAAAGGGCGCGUAGGCGGCGACUUAAGUCGGGGGUGAAAGCCUGUGGCUCAACCACAGAAUUGCCUUCGAUACUGGGUUGCUUGAGUGUGGUAGAGGUUGGUGGAACUGCGAGUGUAGAGGUGAAAUUCGUAGAUAUUCGCAAGAACACCGGUGGCGAAGGCGGCCAACUGGACCAUCACUGACGCUGAGGAGCGAAAGCGUGGGUAGCGAACAGG
rnacentral:rRNA from 1 species